UACGUAGGGGGCAAGCGUUGUCCGGAUUUAUUGGGCGUAAAGCGCUCGCAGGUGGUUCAUUGCGUCGUGCGUGAAAGACCCCGGCUCAACUGGGGAGGGUCGUGCGAAACGGGUGAACUAGAGGCCAGUAGGGGGAUGUGGAAUUCCGGGUGUAGUGGUGGAAUGCGUAGAGAUCCGGAGGAACACCAGCGGCGAAGGCGGCAUCCUGGACUGGUCCUGACACUCAGGAGCGAAAGCGUGGGGAGCGAACAGG
rnacentral:rRNA from 1 species